GGGAGGCAGCAGUGAGGAAUAUUGGACAAUGGGCGAAAGCCUGAUCCAGCAACGCCGCGUGAGGGAUGACUGCCUUCGGGUUGUAAACCUCUUUCAGUAGGGACGAAGCGCAAGUGACGGUACCUACAGAAGAAGCACCGGCCAACUACGUGCCAGCAGCCGCGGUAAUACGUAGGGUGCGAGCGUUGUCCGGAAUUAUUGGGCGUAAAGGGCUCGUAGGCGGUUUGUCGCGUCGGGAGUGAAAACUCAGGGCUUAACCCUGAGCCUGCUUCCGAUACGGGCAGACUAGAGGUAUGCAGGGGAGAACGGAAUUCCUGGUGUAGCGGUGAAAUGCGCAGAUAUCAGGAGGAACACCGGUGGCGAAGGCGGUUCUCUGGGCAUUACCUGACGCUGAGGAGCGAAAGUGUGGGGAGCGAACAGGAUUAGAUACCCUGGUAGU
rnacentral:rRNA from 1 species